rfam:Oryza glumipatula chromosome 1, whole genome shotgun sequence.
AAAAAGAUAAAUACUGGGUUUCCGUGUCUAACUUUGACUGUCCAUCUUAUAAGAAAUUUUUUUUAUAAUUCGUAUUUUUAUUGUUGUUAGAUGAUAAAACAUGAUUAAUAUUUUAUGCGUGACUUGUCUUUUUAAUUUUUUUUAUAAUUUUUUCAAAUAAGACGGAUGGUCAAACGUUAGGCACGGAAACCAGGGUUUGUCUUUUU